rnacentral:lncRNA from 1 species
GAUUCAUUUCGCAACACCUAUGGCUUCCACUAGAUGUCAACGAUCUUUAUAAAGUUGUUUGAAGCGUCUAUGAUAAACAGAGAGCAAAUUAGAAUGCAAGGAAGUUGACAUGUCAUCACUUCAUUUUUUUGCGUCUGCGCAUAAAUCUGAGAAGCGUGAGUUUGUCAUCAUUGUUUAUCUAGACAUAGGAUAGGUUGUGUGAAAAUAUUACUGAUGUUUAACGUUAAAAAUGGACCAAAAGAUUAAUGCUAAACAACAUUUGACAUGUUUGAACGAACGUAAAUAGAUUAUUUACUAGGUUUUUUUAGCUUUUCGGCGUGAUUUUACACCCCCCCCACCACGUUUUGUGGGAGCAUAAUGAACGCUAAGUACUUGGUGUUAUUUGGACAUAAAUUAUGAACUUUGUCAAAAGAAACCACAUUUGUUCCGGACCUGGGAAAUCCUGGCAGUGCCUUCUGAUGGAGAUAAUCAAAGGAGGUCUACCCUGGGGGAUGGUAAUAGAGGGGAGCCAGCAGAAGCAACAGGCUCUCCAGGAGCAAGCACUGGAGGAGCAGCACCAACAAAACCGCAGACUGGUAGCGGAGGUAGCCCAGUUGACGGUUGGGAGUGCUCAGGUGUCUGGCCCGAAUCAGUUCCUGGUUCAGUUAAGGGAGGAAGAUGACGUGGAGUCGUAUUUGUGCACCUUCGAGAGGACGGCACAGAAGGAAGGAUGGCCCAAGCCCAAGUGGGCCAGCCUGUUGGCACCCUACCUCUCUGGGAAGACACAGAAGGCCUACUUUGAUUUGAACACUGACCAGGCAGCGAAUUAUGAG